UCCCUGUCUGGUUUCUAAAAUCUGGGAUUAGUCCAGCCAGGGAAGCUUAAACAGGGGUAUAUGGGGUGUUCAUUGUGCUAUCUCUGACCAAGAAAAGCUGCUCCCAUCUCCUUGCUGGGGAUGAGGGACUGACAGGUAACACGAGGCAUGGCUUGUGCUCUUGCAAAUAGCUUUGCUUUCCAAGACCAUGCUCAGCACUCGGGUGCAUUGCAGGCUGGCACAAGCAUACCCGAGCAGCAGAAAAGAGCAGGCGGGUCAGGCUGACUGCACUUGCCAGGAAACAGAUGUGGAGUGAAAGGUGAAGCCUGACAGAAAGCUUAGGUGUGAGGUCGUGAGAGGAUCAGGCUGUCUGUGCUGCCUCAUGAACUGAGGUCUUAACACAGAGACCCGGUAUCAGGUACCACAAAGUCAGGGGCUGAGCAACAUACCCAGUAUGGUUGACAGGCCACGUGGCAGCCUGUGGGACAGUGUCUGUAAUGCUGGACUGCUACACCCCAGGUGCAGCUUAAGGGCUGUACAGAACUAGGUUACCACAGGUAUUAAAUCCUGAGUGCACCAAACAAAUAACUGCAGUUAGGCAGAUGAACAAAAAAGCUUAGUGAACAGUCUUUUGUGCUUACAAGCUUUCUGCUCAUGCAAUGCCUUGGAGUGUGUCUGCUACUGCUCCUUCCCAGCAUCCUGCUAACCAUGCUGACCCAGGAGAGAGCUGGAGCUGGGACUGAUGUGGCAUUUGAGGACCUGGUGGAAGCAUCACAGCAAGGGAAAUCGGACCUCGAGACCUCCUGAGAAGCAGCUGUGAGGCUUUGUGUUAUAACAUGGAGAUUUAGUUGGGUACGAGGAAAAACGUCUGCAGUGGAACAGCUGCCCAGGGAAGUGGUGGAGCCACCAUGCCUGCAGGUAACCUUCACAAAAGAUCUUGUGUGUAAACUUAGAGCCCACAGAACCUGGUUUUCCUCAAGCCACUGAAGAGAGACCGUGCUUUCCUACUGUGCCAGACGUCACCUGUGGCCAGCUGAGGGGGACUGUCACACGAUCCUUAACACUCCAUGACUUCCCUGGAGAUGGCUUUGGACAAGGCACUUGACACAGAGAACCAUCUGCCAAGUACUUGGAUUAAACAGACUGGAGCAGAACCGUGUCCCAGGUCCAUCUGGGACAGGUUAGCAUGAGGAAGAGGCUGCUGGAGGUGUUUUACCACCGACCCCCGCGGAGGUAGCAAGUGCUGCAGCCAGGGCAGCUGCUGCCGCUGCAUCCCUGGGUGUGAAGUCUGUGGGGAGGCUUUCCAUGAGGCACUUGAGCUGCUCCUGGCCCAGUUUGAUUUUAUCGUCCAGCUCCCGCUGCUCGAUGAGGAGUGCAGACUUCAUCUUCACAAAGUGCUGGUAAUCCUGGAGCUGCUCCUCAGAGAGGUAGUUGCCCAGGAUCUCCAAGACCACCCGUUCCCGACGGUCAAGGUUUUCCUUGAGUUCCCGGGCGUCUUCGUGCUGGCCAGCCAGCAGCUUCCUCUUCUCGUUCAGCGAGCUCUGCACACACCAGAGAGAGCCCUUCAGCACCAGCAGCACCAAAAUCCCUGCUCCCCCCCUCCUUCCUCCCAGCACCACCUCCACGGCUGGCUGCCAUGCUCCCAGACACGCAGUCAAAAGCCUGGAGAGGAGGAUGAAUCCUUCAUUAUGGAUUGAAU